rnacentral:lncRNA from 1 species
GUUGCCGUUUAUAUCUUUCGUCUACUUGUACUUCAUUUAAACUCCGAUGGAUACUUGUCUCAUUGGCUAUCAUAACAUAUCUCCUUAUUUUUGUAAUUUUUUUCUUUCUAUCAUAUUUGUUUUCACAAUAUUUCACUUGGCGUGACCUUUAUUUUGAGCUUUUUGCCAAUAUUUCAUCAUUGCAUUCUUCUAACACGUGUUAACCGUCUUGGUGUUGUGCAUGAACCGCUUAUGACUAUCAGUCUUUGUCUUUUUACCUUUUUCGACUAUGCAUGUUGCUAAAUCUUCAGUUUUUAAUGUUGUGUUAUGUGUACUUUUGGUUGUCUUAUGUUGCCAUGGUGACAUUUACGGUUUAUUUUCGACUAUCAGUUUGAAUGCUCUUCUUAU